UUGAAUUGGACUCAGGUUUUGUUGUGCUUGGUUUUUCAACAAACCCAACAUUAUGGUUACUUGGAAUUUAAGGAACAGAUGAAAUAAUGUCAUGUCUCUUUCCAAGCAGAUGAAUGGUUUAGUGACUCACAUUUAUAGAGAAGGGAAUCAAGUUACAGUCUGUCUUGCAAAUCAUGAAUUGAUAUAACAAGAUACAAAGAAAUGGCUCAAAAACAAAAGUUUUUCAUGCUAGUCUUGAUGAUGGUUCUUCUAUUCUCAGCAGGUAUGCACAAAACUGAAUGUAGACAAGUUGUAGUUGUUAAAUGCAUUGGAACAUGUCCAGGUUUUCAUGAUUGUGAAGUGGAAUGCAAACAUAAGGGCUAUACAAAAGGGGGAUGCCUUCCUCCUAAGUAUUACUAUUGUUGUUGUAGUACUUAAUUUCAACUAUUACCUUGGAAAUUAGAGGUUUUCUUGGAGUUGAAAUAAAAUGUUGUUUCAUAAAUAAUAGUAUAUUAUAAGCUUCAUUAUUACAUAUUAAAAACUUGAUAUGUUAUCAAG